CAUGUCUUUUUGAUAAUAAUUUAAAGUCUGAUCUGCUCGAUGAUAAAAUUAAAUGGCCGCGGUAUUUUGACCGUGCGAAGGUAGCAUAAUAAUUAGUUUCUUAAUUAGAAUCUAGAAUGAAUGAUUGGACGAGAAAUUAACUGUCUCAUUUUUAAUAAUUUAGAAUUUUACUUUUAAGUUAAAAGGCUUAAAUGAAUUUGGAAGACGAGAAGACCCUAUAGAGUUUAAUAUUAAAAAUAUAUAGAUAUUUUUAGAAUUUACUUUCUGUUUAUUUAAAUAUUUGAUUGGGGUGAUUAUUAAAUUUAUAAAACUUUAAUUUUUUUAUAACACAUAUAUGUGGUUAUUUGAUCCAAUAAUUUUGAUUGAAAGAUAAAAUUACCUUAGGGAUAACAGCGUAAUUUUUUUGGAAAGUUCAUAUUUAUAGAAAAGAUUGCGACCUCGAUGUUGGAUUAAAAUUUAAUUUUGGUGCAGAAGCUUAAAAAUUAGGUCUGUUCGACCUUUAAAAUUUUACAUGAUCUGAGU
rnacentral:rRNA from 1 species